rnacentral:rRNA from 1 species
GACGAACGCUGGCGGCGUGCCUAAUACAUGCAAGUAGAACGCACAGUUUAUACCGUAGCUUGCUACACCAUAAACUGUGAGUUGCGAACGGGUGAGUAACGCGUAGGUAACCUGCCUGGUAGCGGGGGAUAACUAUUGGAAACGCUAGCUAAUACCGCAUAAUAUUGAUUAUUGCAUGAUAAUUGAUUGAAAGAUGCUAUUGCAUCACUACCAGAUGGACCUGCGUUGUAUUAGCUAGUAGGUGAGGUAACGGCUCACCUAGGCGACGAUACAUAGCCGACCUGAGAGGGUGAUCGGCCACACUGGGACUGAGACACGGCCCAGACUCCUACGGGAGGCAGCAGUAGGGAAUCUUCGGCAAUGGACGAAAGUCUGACCGAGCAACGCCGAGGGAGGGAAGAAGGUUGUCGGAUCGGAAAGCUCGGUUGUAAGAGAAGAACGGGUGUGAGAGUGGAAAGUUCACACUGUGACGGUAUCUUACCAGAAAGGGACGGCUAACUACGUG